AAAAAAAAAAAAUCAAUGCAGGUGAUAUCACCUGAAUUCUACUGUGAACACAUUUUAUCUCUCUAAAGCCCAUUUUGCACUUACAUGACUCUUCAGGAAAUAUGGACUGUGUACCAUGGAAUCUCCCUCCUAAAGUGGCAUUUGUUGUCAAAUUUUUUGAUGACAGUCAUUCCUAACAUGGUAAGUAGAAUCUCAACGUCCUUUUCAUUUGCAUUCCCCUGAUUCCUAGGAACACUGAACAUUUUUAAACUUGUCUAUGUAUAUCUAUUUUUGAAAGCUGUUGUUUCAGUUAAUUUGUGAAUUUGUUAAUUGUUAUAUUCCCUAACCAUUUAAUUUCUUGAAUUUUUGUGGAAAUUCUGAAUAUAAGUUUCUUG